rnacentral:rRNA from 1 species
AUUGAACGCUGGCGGCAGGCCUAACACAUGCAAGUCGAGCGGAUGAGGGGUGCUUGCACUCUGAUUCAGCGGCGGACGGGUGAGUAAUGCCUAGGAAUCUGCCCGAUAGUGGGGGACAACGUUUCGAAAGGAACGCUAAUACCGCAUACGUCCUACGGGAGAAAGUGGGGGAUCUUCGGACCUCACGCUAUCGGAUGAGCCUAGGUCGGAUUAGCUAGUUGGUGAGGUAAUGGCUCACCAAGGCUACGAUCCGUAACUGGUCUGAGAGGAUGAUCAGUCACACUGGAACUGAGACACGGUCCAGACUCCUACGGGAGGCAGCAGUCGAGAAUUUUUCACAAUGGGCGCAAGCCUGAGGGAGCGACGCCGCGUGGGGGAUGAAUGGCUUCGGCCCGUAAACCCCUGUCAUUCGGGAUCAAAUCCGGCGACCUAACACGUGGCCGGUUGAUAGUACCGGAAGAGGAAGGGACGGCUAACUCUGUGCCAGCAGCCGCGGUAAUAC